UCGAAAAAUCCAGUUUCAACCCCAUUGAAAGACAGAACUAAACACAUUGAAAACUCCAUUAACUACCCAACACCACCUUCGCUGCCAUGUCUCAACCCUGUUAGCAGUCAUUUCCAUCGGAAGACGAAACAUACAACAUAAUCUCUGUAAACAAUCUCCAAUCCCCAUAUGCACGUGUCGUCAUGUCGUCCAUACGUGCUGUCAGUGACCUCCGAAAGCCGCCAUGCCACCGAUGCCUUGCUUCCAUGGACCUCCUCGAUUGGUUGGGACUGUUCUUUGGUUUCCAAUGUGAUAACGUAAAGAAUAACCAAUGGGAACACCUUGUUCUCUACUCGGCCAACGGCCAUAUACGUCUCUCUUUGCCACCAGUCGACAACAUUGGAACCUUUCAAGCUGUAGUCCUCCAUGAAUUCCACCAUAAGCUACUCAAAAACUACACUAGCUGGUGUCUUACGCCGGCAGGGCAUCCAACGUUGACAGAUUCGAUUAUGAUACUCGUAGAGAGUAUGAUGCUUGUUAACUUAUCAAUUUAUUACCAUCAACAUUCAAUUAAAAUAGAAUCGUAAAAAAACUCAUAAGAUUUCAAUCUUUAAAAAUAUGUUGCUCCACAAGAUUAAUCUUCAAAUAUAGAUCGUAUACGUCCAUAAUAUCAUUUAAGUCUUGGCUCGACUAUUUUGAUUUCAAAAUAUUGCUUACUCCACAAAUACAAGUUACGAAUUCUAAACAAUGCUAAGUGUCGUUGUAAUUUUUCGUGCCAUUACUCUCAUAACAAUUUCAUUACAAUUAACUCUUUCAAGGUUGAACAAGAUUUUCAUAUUUAGAGCACAAAUCUAGUUUCACAAAGCAACAUUUAAUUCAUGAGGAUCUAAAUCUCAUCAAAUCAAUUACUCUUAAUAUAAGAACACAAAAGAUUAAGACAAACUCAUAUUUUCUUGGAUAUAUUAGUAUGCAAGGUAAGAAUCUUGUUUGAUCCAAUCUCAUUUCCAAUUAUAAUUAUAAGACUGAUUGCACAAGAUUCUUAAAAAGAUACAGGUAAAAAAUCAAACUUUUCGAAUUUUAAAAUUUCAGUCCUAACUCAAACCAUAAUUGUUAAAUCUUGUUGGUUAAAUUAUGCUGCUAAUAUUGUAUUAUGCAUAAAGUUGUUAAUUUUAUCCAUGUUCUCCAAUUGGAUUAUUCUAGUAUUUUAAUCUAUCAAAUUUUAAAAUUUCAGUAUUGACGCAAACUAACUAUUAAAUUCAUUAGUUAACUUUUUUGUGAGUAACAUGCGGAAAUAAUAGUCUCACAUGGAUUAUACAUGUGGAAAUAUGUUUAUCGCGUCAAAUUUUGAAAUUAAUAUAACUUAAUAAAUUUAAUAGAUACAAUUCGAUAAGUAUUACAAUUUUGAAAUUCAAAAAGUACAAGGAUUAAAAAUUACGAAAUUACAGUAUAAGAACUAAAUGGAUAAUUUAAGCAUAAUAAAAGACUAAGAGUAGAAUCUAAUUUACUAUUUUUAUUUUUAUAAACUUACCAAAACAAAACAAAUGAAGGGCAAUUAAUUGUCUUACAAGUAUAAAUGUAAUGUAAGCACAAGUAAUAUAUAGUUAUAUGUAUAUGUUUAGGUAAUUAAUAUAAUAUAAUAUAGGGUAAAUUAUACAAUUAGUCACUUAAUUAUAGGUAAGUUUUUAUUUUGGUUAUUUUCUAUCAAUUUGAUAUUGAUUCUGUAUAAAAAUUAUAAAAAAAUGAAGUUCUAAAAAUAUAUAGAAAUUUAAAAAAUUAAAUAAAAAUAGAUAAAGUGAGAGAAAAUGAAGGGAAAAUUGUUUUUUCGUGGUAAUAAAAGAAAAAGAUUUGGAAUAUAAUUUGUUAGUUUUGAAAAAUUAUUUAAAUGAAUUGAAAUUUUGAAUUGAGUUUGAAAACUUUAUGGUAUAAUUUAAAUGAAUUUAAACGAUGGUAUCAUAGUCAAUUUCACAAGUCUCUGUGAUAUCCGUUCUGAGAGAAGCUCUUUAACAAUUUGAAACUCGACUUAGAGAUAUUAUUAAUUUGGUUCUAUUCUAUUGAAUGAUGAUUUUCAUUCUUAUGUGUCAAUAUUGCACAAUCUUGAGCUUUAUUGCAAUAGAACCUCGACUUCUUUUAUAUAAACAUUAAUUUUUAAUCAUAUAUUUAAGCUUUAUCAAAUGAAUAUACUAUGUUAAGAGAUUGAAAUUGAUCUAUUUUUUUUAUUCAUUUUCAUGAUUUUAUACAAUGUUGAAGAUUUAUUGUUGUAAUAAUCUGAAAUUUGUAUAUAGAAUUUUUUUUAAUUUUUUUAAAAUAAUUUUAUAUAGAAAUAGAGCUAAAUUGAAAAAAAUAAUAAAAGUAGAAAGUUAAAAUUCUUAUAAUACGAACUAAAAUAGAAUUUUUUAAUUUUUUAACUUAAUUUUAAAAACAUUAUUGAUGAAAUUAUUACUUUUCUGUAAUUAAAUGAUGGAAAUUUACUUGUAAUUAAAUAUAAAAUAUAAAGUAUUAUAUAAAUAUUUUAAAAUAAUUUAUGCAAUUUGAUACAUAGUUGUUAGAUAUGUUUAUGGGUUGGGUUACUCAUCUAGGUCCGAAGGCUUGUUCGAAAUUUGGGAGGGUCUAGGCAAAAAUAUUAAGUUCGAAAAAUGGGUUUGGGAAAAAAAUUAGGCCCGUUUAAAAUUUGGCGGGCACAGCUGGUUUGAAAAUUUAAGGCCUGAACUCGGCCUGACUCAUUUUUAAGUUUAUAAUACUUUAUAUUAUGUUACUUUUAUAUAUUAUGUGAUUUAGAACAUAUUAAAAAAUAAACUUAUACUAAAUAUAUAAUAUCACUCUAAUGUAAACAUUAAAAUAAUUUUAAAAUAAUUAUAUAAAAAAUUUCAAUAAAUAAAAUAUUAUAAAAUUAUAAAAUAAAAUAAAAUAUAUUUUUUUAAAUUAAAAAAAUCUUUUUGUAAAUAUGGACAAGUUUAGACAAAAUUUUUGGUUCAUAUUUCAGGUUAGGUCAGGUUUAGACAAACAUAAAAUAUGCAAAUAUCAUGCUUAAACUUAAUCUGAUUAAUCCGUCACGACCCUACCUAUAAACACCUCUAUAAUAUAUUACACAUUUAUCUAAAAAAAAAUGAUAUAUAAUUGUAAUAGGAUGAAAUAAAUAAAUUAGACUACCAACUACAUAUCAAAUUCCUCCCGUUGACUUCCCAUAUCAAGUUUAGUAAUAUCAAGUCUUUGUUUUUUUCUUUCUAAGAAAGUUCCUGACAAUAUUAUUUUCUUUUUAAUAAUAGCUAAAUUUCAGCAUGCGGUCAAAGUCAUAUAUAAAUUACAAUGGUAAUUAAAACGAAAUUUAAAUAUAUUAAUAUUACUAAAUGAAUACAAUUAUUUAUUAUGAUGUUGUUAUUAAUCUUAAGUUGAUGUCGAGUUAAUUUGUGACACCAUUUCGAUCGACAAUAUAUAUAUAUAUAUUUGGUGAAUUACAAACAACAACUAGAAUUUAGGUCACUCUUGGGGCGGUGAACACCUUUGACCAUUAGGCCAAUACAUGGAGUUCUCAAUCGACAACAUUAUUAGUAUUCUAUCACAUGUGUAUGGGUAUGGAAACUACUAUUUAAAACACAGAUGCAUGUUUAAAAAUGACAUAUAAUAAGUAAUGAAAUGUAUGGUCGGAAACUAAUUAAUAAUAAAUGAAAUAUGUACAAUAUUAAAAUAAAGAAAUUAGGUCACAUUGUAAGUAAAAGGAAAUAUGUUCGGUUGACUCGUGAUACCAACUCAAUUAGGGGCUUAAAUAAUAGCAAGGAUAUAUAUUUCUACACAAACAAUUGAUGGAGGUAAUAAAAUAUGCAUAUUAAAAUAAAAAUGUAUAAAAAUAUCAAAAUAGAGUUUUGGUUUGAGUGAUAAAUUUAAGCUUUUACUAACCUAAUUGGCAAGGGUUCAAAUUUUGAUUUAUGAAUAUUUUUAUUGGUUUUUAAAUAAAAAAUUAAGAUGCCCUCGAAUAAUAUAAUUUAUUUUAAUGACGAAAUAACAUUUCUGUAAGUUCUCUAACUGAAUUGGUGCUCAGUUGACUUGUGACACCAACUCAAUCAGGUGCUUAAAUAAUAGUAAGUAUAGAUAUAGAUAUAUACAAUUGAUGGAGGUAAUAAAGUGUGAUAAUAAAAUUAAAAUGUAUAAAAAUAUUAAUAAUUUCUUUUUUAGCUGAGUGGUAAAUUAAAAUUAGUUUUACUAAUGCAAUUACUUUGGAUUUAAAUCUCACAAUAUGCGUAGUUGUUUUAGCUCGACUGGUAUGAGUAUUGUUGCAAAUGCAGGAGGAUGUGAGUUCCAGUGCGUUGAAGCGCAUUAUCCUCCAAUUUAUGAAUUGGGGAGAGAUUAUGGGUAGUUAUAUAUAUUGUGUCAAAAAGAACACAUAUGAUCAAAAUUUAUAAUGACAUUUUUGUAUAAAGGUUAAAAUGUGUUAUUAGUCCCUAUAGUUGUACAAAAUUAUGGAAGGACAUUUUUGUAAUUCUCUAAUUAAAUUGGUGAUCCGAUUGAAGGUGACACGAACUUAGUAAAACACUUAAAUAGAUAGAAUAUAUACUAAUGGUUAAAUAAUAGUAAUAUAAUAUUUAUAUAAAUGUUAAAAUGUGUUGCUAGUCCCUGUAGUUGUACAAAAUUUGAGAUUAAGCCUUUGUAUUUUGAAAGUUAAAAAUUCAAUAAUCUACUUUUUAAAUUUAAAAAUCUUAACUUAAUUAUUAUCUUCGUCCGUAGUUUUGUCAAAAUCCGUCAACCUAACAUGUUUAUUUUCUGCCAAUCGUAUGUCAUGUGAUAUAAAGAUAACUUAAUUAAAAUUUCAAGUUAACAAAAAUUGACAAAAAAUAUUUAUAGUUUUCAUGACAGAACCGAGAUUUUUAGACCAAUAAAAUAGAAAGACUUAAAAUUUAACUUACCUAACAAAAUAUUUUUAUUUUAUAUAAACUUAUUUCUUAGUCUUUUUUUAUAUUAUACAAUUAAAAAAUUGCUAUUCACACUUGUCCUAACAACAUACCCUUUUGUAUUCACUCAUAAGACCACUUGUGUUAGAACAAUAGUAAUUAAUAUAUAAUUUAAGACUUGUGAUAAAAUAAUUUAUAAUUUAGGGGUUAAUUUUAUAAGCAAAAAAAGAAGAAGACAAAACUGACAACCGAACACAUUGACAAUCCUACUCAAGUUCCUGGUAUCCUGUUUGCAUUUCCUACAGUUUUGGUGCCAUGUCCCGACCCUGUAACCGGCUUUCACUAGAAGGCGAAGGGUACAACAUAAUCCCUGUUCACAAUCUCGAUGCCAGUCAUCCGUGCGUUCGGUACCCUGAAGUACGCGCUGUCUUAUUAUCCUUGCGCGCCUUGGGUAACCUCAGGGAGCCACCAUACCACACAUGGCAUCCUUCUUCCAUGGACCUCCUCGAUUGGUUGGGACUAUUCUUUGGUUUCCAA
rnacentral:lncRNA from 1 species